UACGUAGGGGGCGAGCGUUGUCCGAAGUUACUGGGCGUAAAGAGCGCGUAGGCGGGCUCCUAAGUGAGGGGUGAAAGGUUCGGGCUCAACCCGGAGAGUGCCUUUCAUACUGGGAGCCUUGAGUGCGGGAGAGGUGAGUGGAAUGCCGAGUGUAGAGGUGAAAUUCGUAGAUAUUCGGCGGAACACCAGUGGCGAAGGCGACUCACUGGCCCGAUACUGACGCUGAGGCGCGAAAGCGUGGGGAGCAAACAGG
rnacentral:rRNA from 1 species